AAAAUAUGAUAAUCAUUAAGAAGACAGAGAUGAAGAAAAGAAGGAAGUGGAGGCAAUGAGGAAAGGAGGGAAGAAGGAAGGAAGGAAAUCAUGCUUGAAAGAAGGUGUGGAACAUGUCAAGUUUUUUUCCGGAUGUGGCGGAGAUUAUGCAGCUACAAUGAAGCCAGAUUAAGAUUUCAGGAAAAUGGACAGAUCUCUACGAUGUUCUCCAAAGAGAUUGUUUUGCUUGCCAAUAAAAAGAGACACCUGGGAGCACCAUACUCUCUCCUGUUCCUCUGGGUAUCAUAUUUCCUUAUGACACCUGAAACUCUGAUGCCUUCUGGGUCCAUGAAAGCAGUG
rnacentral:lncRNA from 10 species